UCAGUGACAGACAGGGACCGUUUUACUAUUAAUGUACCCAAAGGCAAUGAUCAUCGGUUUUAGAGUACAUUGGUCCAUAGUAUCAAUGCUUUAGCAGAGAUGCUAAAAAUGCUAUUUAACAUAUAUUUUUUGGCUUUUAACUAAGCAGGCAUAGAUAAAAAGACUAGGGAAAGGGGGUAAACAGGACAGUCUCAAAGUACAAAAUCAGCAAACUAGAAGGACUGUCUCAUCAUGCUCUUCUACGAAUGAGACAUCAUGACAGACUGUCUGCACCCUGACACCCCCCAGCGCAUACUGUGGGUAAACCUCCUCGGAUCUUUCUGACUCUACGUUUCCCACAGUGGAAAGGCCCAGUAGCUGACCUAGUUUUCACAGCUUACUUAAGCCACAUGACCAAGCAAAGUUAAUGACUAACUUAUCCCCCCUUCAAGAAGAGUUUUGCUUGAUCUCUCCCGGAGCUGACACUCUGUCUGCCCCAUUACCCCCCUGUCAGGGCCAGUAAGCAUGUCAUGGGAAAGCUCCAUUUCAAAGACACACAGUAGCUAUGGGACAAGCAGCACAUUCAGAACGUUUGCAUUAUAUUUACAAAUAUCCAGCUGCUCAUCUGAGGCCCCCAGGUCAGGGUCUCACGUUCAUCCCUGUAUCAUAUUAGCUAUACUAGGGGUGUAAGCAGUCAACCCCAAGGCAAUUUGAUUAGAUUCUGAUUAUUUAGGGGACAAUGCGAUGCAUCGGAAACCCCUAACCUCUGAGCCACUUGGUGAGCGGGGAGCGGGCCAGAUUUUAUAAUGAAUUAUAAACACAGGCCGGUACUUAAAUGAGUUGACAGCAUCCCUCAUCCGCCACUACAGAAAGCAGCCGGACGUGUAAUGCAGUCAUCUCCAAUAUUUUAGUAGUUGUGUCUUAAGCUGUGGUGCUGCUAACUUUGAAUGUUGAUAAAGUUUAAAUAUUGGCCAGCAAUUUCAGACAAAAUUGACACAUCGGAUCAAUGCUGAUAUCUUUCUUUGUAACAAAUAUCAUCUGAUGCUGAUAUGUUAAAUGAUAUAUCGUGCAUCUCUAAAGCUAACAUUACUUUUUACUUAGCUAACUAGAUGGCUACUUCAGAAUCCGGACUAUUGCUAUCAAUAAUAGCAAAAAGAACAACUUUUUUUGCGCUACAAAAGAGGGGAGUUUCCCAAAAGCUUUGUAGCACAAAGAUUUUCAUGACCAUUAGAGAGAUCGUUUUACACUAUAAAACAGCAGCAAGUUUCUCAGAAGCGUCAUGGUGCAAAGAUCAUCACUGUAACUCAAAGAUCGUCAGGUUGUGCUUCCUUUAUCACUAUAAAUGAGUCUUCCCCUACCAUCUUACAUGCUGAAAAUUUACGCGCCAGAGCUGCUACUAUGCGUGUCUUUUUGCAGCAUCUGAUCGUGAGAGCGUGCAAUCUGGAAGUUGGGAAUACCUUUAAGGAGGAUUUUGCCCCCAAAAAUCGUUUAUAACCGAUUCUCAUGUUACAGAUUGAUGCACCUAAAUUGCUACAUUAAUGUAGUGAUGCAUCUUUCCACGCCUAACAUGCAGCAUUAGCAUCUAGUUAGCGCUUAUUUGAGAGUCAGAUGCUAAUUUGUUCUCUAAAUAUCUUAUGACAGGGCUUCAUGCCCUUACUGGUAUAGUUGCAACACAUAACGCAGAGUAAUGAAAUGAGAAAUGAGUGAAGAAUGUGUAAUAGCAUAACUGUACUCCUGCUAUGGAUUUUUUAAAUGAAUCUCACACAGAGAAUCACAGAGAUCAGUAGACUAUGCAACAGACAACCAGAUAAGCAGACCCCAGGUUCCGAAGCAGGUAUCUAUCCAGAGUAGAAAAACUGGCUUUUUCCUGCAUGUCGAUGGCUGGAGGGCACUUCUCGCCUGAGAGUGUAUGGAGAAGCUCUCCUGCUGCUCCUGCCAUGAUCCGUCAGCCCUGGCACAACAGGGGACCGAUCCAAAUCCACUGCAGAGAGACACUUUCACUGCAGCAGGCAGCUGUCUGACAGCUCACCUGGAAACCAAGAGUGUGAUUGCUUCCCCUGUCAACCCAGAGGUGGAGGAUCAGCCGCAGGCUAACCCUGCAUUCCCACAUCUGUCAAGGCUACGGGGACAUUCCGUGUUUACAUCGCACGAUACAAAAACGCCAAUAGCGACGCAAAGGCUCCUCCCACACAAACCCUUUACGAUUAAAUUACACUUGACCUCCGCAAAGGCGGCCCUAUACAUCCGGCACACUUUGGAGGUCACCAUGGUGACAAGCCCAGGUGACUUACAUCCAGCCUCUUUGUAUCCUUCACUGCAUUAUGGCAGACAGGAGAUGCAAAGCAUGGGGGUGGGUGUUUAUUUUUAAACAUCCAAGACAGCUGCGUGGGAUGGCAGAGUGACAGGUCUUCCGGAGCCUUCCAAAGACAACUGGUGACUCAUGAAAUCAGCCACACCCUGGCGGUCCAUCAAGGCAGGACAUGGUGAACCAGAGUGUAUUCUGGGAAGUGUUCCCGCAGGGUUGGAUACACCCUGGACAGGAUGACAGCCAGUCUCAGCACAUACAGUCACAGAAAGAGAGAGCUGCCCAGACAGGGAGAUGGAGAGGAGAGGCAGGCAAGAGAGAAGUGAGCUGGGUUACAGAAGGACAGGCCACCAGUCUGAGCCAUGCAAAGAAUCUGCCAUGCUGCAGCGAGGCGUUUGGGUUAGUAGGAAAGAAACGUCACCAUAAAGGUCUACUGAAGUAUGGAAGCGGACAUGAGAACACUGCUUAGUCUUACUCGAAAAAGGAGGCCUUAAUGAACUUUCAUUACUAAGCAGCCUCUGGUACAACCUCAGACUGGUCUGAAGGCCAAAUAGAGCAGGAAGCCUGGUGAGACAGUGAGCUCUGUGUCCAUCAGGAGCGGAGAGCGACCCUACCUUGUCC